AUGGCACUUGGCGCUUCUGUAGCACCCACUGCUGUGGUGAUCAGCAGAUGCAGUAGCCCUCGUGCACAGGGAAUACAACGGCAGCCGGUGACAAUUAACACGGUCUCUGCAUUUAUUCCCGCGACGGGCACUUACUGGAUCAUGCCUUUCCACCUCCCAAACAUAUUCUCCAUCCAUCCUGUGAAAGGGUCAUUAAUGCCGGAGUUCUCUGCCAAUUCUUACCUGAGGGAUUGUAAUCAUGCCAGCGCCCUGGCCACCAACCCAACCGGAGCUGUGUUAUUGGGGAUAAAAGUACAACAUGUUGUGCCUAUCAUCGCAUUUACCCCUCCUUGCUCUGUCAAUAACAUUUCCAUAUCUAUAUAUAUUCCUUUUAACUUUAUCUGGCAAAAUGAACGAAGUGUUGCUGAUUAUGAUACAUGUAAUUUAUCCAAACUAUAUAUAUACAUAUUUUUAUAUGGUGGACAACCAAAACAGAACCGAUUCAAAUCCUGCCGUUAUUUGAUUUCCUCAUGUGACUGUUACUCCUUGCUCGGCGGACGUAGUUUAUAGGCUCCGGGUGUGUCUGCAUCUGGUUCUGGAACUUUUGUUUCUAUUGUAGAAAUACAAACUCAUGUACAGCAGUUAGUUGUUCAAAAACAUAUUUCCUAUAAUUCUAUUUUGAAUUGUUCUAAUGGAAGUCCAUUAUGGGACCCUAGAAAUGUAAGUGUAAGCAUGAAUCUAACCGUAAGCAUUACGUGCAAAGUUAGCUGUGUCAGAGUGAUACACGGUACUCAUCUUGCUUCUGGAAACAGUGGACCUGAAAAUUGUAUGCGUUUCAAAUAUGUUUGUAUUAUAAUUGAUAAUGCCUCAUUUGUAUUCCUUCAUCUAACCAAUUCUAUUUAGUGCUUGUACAGAUUUUAAAUUUUUGUUUUGAGUGUCCCAUUCCUUAUUCUGAGCUGGUAUCAACCUUCAACCUUGAUUUAAUAUUCACACUACAGUGCGAGUGUGUGUGUGUGUGUGUGCGCCCCGUCCUGGGGUGUGCGUCACGCUUGGCUUGAAAACACCCAAUUUACCGCAGCUCCUAUCUUUCUAUCAGAGACAGGGGCAGUUCCUGUGAGGUCUUGGAGGCUGUGAUAGGCUAUCACAGAGAGGGGCGGUACCUGUGAGGUCUUGGAGGCCUUGAUUGGCUAUCACAGAGAGGGGCGGUACCUGUGAGGUCUUGGAGGCCUUGAUUGGCUAUCACAGAGAGGGGCGGUUCCUGUGAGGUCUUGUGGGCUGUGAUUGGCUAGUACAGAGUGGGGCGGUUCCUGUGAGGUCUUGUGGGCUGUGAUUGGCUAUCAGAGAGAGGGGCGGUACCUGUGAGGUCUUGGAGGCCUUGAUUGGCUAUCACGGAGAGGGGCGGUUCCUGUGAGGUCUCGUGGGCUGUGAUUGGCUAUCACAGAGAGGGGCGUCUCCUGUGAGGUCUCAAGGGCUGUGAUUGGCUAUCACAGCGAGGGGAGGUUCCUGUAAGCCUGGGGCCGCUAGAGUUAGAAUGACCGACAUUUUUAAAUAGAUUUCAUUGUUGUCUCAACAUCUUAGUUCAAAAGGCAGAUACAGUGAUGUGUAUUCUUAAUCUCUCUUCUGCUCUACUUUUUGACUCAAGUUCAAUGAGUGUGUGUGUGUGUGUGUGUGUGUGUGUGUGUGUGUGUGUGUGUGUGUGAUGCGAGCGAAUGUAAUUUCAAAGUAACAAACAAACAAACUCAAAGCCGAUGCAUGCAUCCAAAACUUUCUGUUCAAAACCAAAUAAACAAAUCAAAAACAGAGUCGUUAUUCGCUUCAAAUACUUUUUCUUUUCAAAACUUGGGAAUUAAUACAGCGCGGUACCGAGCGGUAGAAAACAAUGUUGGCGUCUCCUGUGGCUGCCUUGCGCACCUGCGUUAUAUUACUUAAUAUGACUUUGGCAGUAAUGCUGCGCCAUGAUGCGUGCCUGCCUGCUUUCAGCGAGUAAUUAAUAUUAUUUGAAAUUAUUUUUAUUUGUUGAAAAGAUAUUUAUCAGUCACAGCACUCACAGCAGCCUCUUCGUGUAAGUCGAGUAAUUUAAUGCCAACCGUAAAUCUUGCAUAUCAAGUAGGCUAGCAAACACCGUUGUCAUUCAACUCAGCGUCUGCUGACUUUCUGCUUAAUGUGAAACUCAUAACAAGUCGUCAUGUAUGCAAGCGUGUGCGGUUUCGUUUUUUUAAGUACUGGUCAGGGAAACGUUUAGCACCGGAACCGUUCGAAAAGUACAGAGUAGGCACCGGUAUCGGAUAAAACCCAAACGAUACCCAACCCUAGUUGUGACACUCAUCUGUUUCAGCUGGGCAGGAGUCAGAGACCACUCAUUCCAUGCUAAACUGGUUUAGACACAUGCAUGCCUUAUUUUAUAUAAAUUAAUAGAGGUUUACUUUGAGAGUGAAUUAUUACUUGAAUUGAAAUGCAAAGUGUCCAAAGUAACACGACGUGGAGGCACGUCUCUCUGUACGGAAACAAAGAACAAGACUUUAUGAUUUAAUAGUCAGAUUCAGAAAAUUAUAAUGUGAGUCCACCAGGUUUACUGUAGUCCUCAUUAUAAGGUGAGUCCACCACCAGGUUUACUGUAGUCCUCAUUAUAAGGUGAGUCGACCAGGUUUACUGUAGUCCUCAUUAUAAGGUGGGUCCACCAGGUUUACUGUAGUCCUCAUUAUAAGGUGAGCCCACCAGCAGGUUUACUGUUGUCCUCAUUAUAAGGUGAGCCCACCAGGUUUACGGUAGUCCUCAUUAUAAGGUGAGUCCACCACCAGGUUUACUGUAGUCCUCAUUAUAAGGUGAGUCCACCAGGUUUACUGUAGUCCUCAUUAUAAGGUGAGGCCACCAGGUUUACUGUAGUCCUCAUUAUAAGGUGAGUCCACCAGGUUUACUGUAGUCCUCAUUAUAAGGUGAGUCCACCAGGUUUACUGUAGUCCUCAUUAUAAGGUGAGUCCACCAGGUUUACUGUAGUCCUCAUUAUAAGGUGAGUCCACCAGGUUUACUGUAGUCCUCAUUAUAAGGUGAGUCCACCAGAGCAACCAUUGUACUCACUUAUUGUAUCUUGUACGUACUGGCACUUAAUGUGCACACUAUUUUUGUGUUGAGCUUCCGGGCAAUUU